AGUUGGUAUUUUGAGGUAAGCAUAAGUAGGUUGAAGAAGAAAUAUGAGCAGCCAGAUUGUGAUAGUUAUGAGUUGGGAUAAGCUUGGUGCUACCUCUUUGUUUUCUUUGUUUCUUUGUAGAAAAAGAGUAUUGGAUAUUUUUUGAAUAAUGUGAAGUGAAAUUUUGGAAUGAAAAAAAAGAUUUAAUGUUGUAAAUAAAAUAUGGAAUUUAUUGUGGAUGAAUACAAUGGAGAAUUAUAAGUGAAUAAUUGGAAGUAUUGGUGAAGAAUGGAUAUGAUUGGGAGAAUUAUAAUAUUGAGGUUUGAGAAGGAGUCUUUGGAGUUUGGAUUUGUUUAAAAAAGUAUAGAAAGAAUGACAAUUAAAUGUAGAGGAUUCCAGUGAUUGGAUUAUGGAGUGAUUGUAUGCUGUCUUUUAAGAUAAUAUAGUUUUAUAUAUCAUUGUCAUAAAUUAAGAGAAGAGAAGAGACAUUGAAUAUGAAGAUGGAAUUAUCGAUUGUAAUAUUUCGUAGAAUGUGGAGGACAAUGUAGCAUUCUUGGGUGUUCUUAGUUGAUUAAGAGAUAGUUAAUUGUAUGACUCUAACGUGUAAACGCAUGCGGAUAAGUCUUCCUUGUGUUCAAAUCUCCCUAUACGGAAUUAUUCUGAUUAGAUUAGUUUGAAGUAAAUAAAACGACAAUUAUAAUAUUCAAUGUCACCAUAACAGCUGACCUUGAAUUAGAUAAUGACUAUCAAUAUACUACCAAAGAAUAGUUUAAUACUUACUUUGAUAUCAAUAAAACAAGAUUGGCCUAUCUCAAGAGUCUAAGAUCCUUCUAAUCCACA
rnacentral:lncRNA from 1 species